GGAGCCGCGGCAACUGCUGCGACAUCCUCUUCCGAAAAAAAGAACUGCUGCGAUGGUGUGCGUCUUCGCCUCUUCUGCAAUGGCGCCCCCGCCCUACCACUGACUGACACUGCCAGCUUCGAGGGGAGCGAUGCGCAUCCAUGGCCCUCAUUGCAUCAGCCCUUCGAUUCGACAGCAAGAGCGCACGCGAUCUCUGAUCAUGCCUUCGUGGAGGAUUCUCUCCGCCUCUGCUCCCACUCGACAGCCCAUCCCGGAAUGCACACCAGGUGCUUGGCGUUAUGCUUCUUUCUUUCGCAUAAACAAAGAACCAAAAAGGUUCUCUACUGGAAGUGAACUACGAAGAAUGCUAAACUAUGGUCUAUGCGGGGAGGCAAGUUUUAUCCGUACAAAAUAUCAACUAUGAUGAAGGUGUGAUGAAUGAAGGUAUUCAUGCAUAGAGAUGAUACGUACCGACAGUGUACUCGAACAUAAUAGCAACAGUGAGGAUGGACCAGAUGAUGUUAGUCCCAAAGAUGUCAUAGGGUGCACGGAAGAGUAUGAGCAGUGACACAAGGAGGCAAGCAAGGCCAACCUUGAGUGCAAAGGUGACCCUGUUUGUGUCCUGCCUUGCAAAUUCCCAGACAUCACGUAGCCACUGUCUGUGGGAGGGAACUUCUUCAAGGAUUGGCUUCUUUACACCUUCUGGCACCACAUUGUUUGAUGGCAGGCAGAUAUCAAUCCUUAUACUACCCUUCUUUCCAUUCAUUCUCCAACUCAAAGGUGCCUUUUACACAACAGCUCUUGGUAUUGCACAGAGGUCAAGUAAUACAGAUGUAGCUGUUCUACUUGUGCUUCAGUUCAGCUGUUGAAUUGCGGAGUCUUAUGGACGGAGGGAGGGUAUAUAUAGAUUUGUUGAGAGGUUAAGGAUAGUGGUGCAAGUAGAUAAAAAGGUGGUGUAGAAGCAUAGCGUCACCAUAAGAAGUUGAAUAAAACUUCUGGAAAGAUGCUCUCGCUCAAUAAUAUAUGUACUGCUGGUGAAGUGGAAUCUAUCAUCUGAAAUAAUGUUAUAUCCAGUAUUGAUUUUGCAGUUUACGGUGUAUGGUUUGCCAGGUUCACGUUGCAUCAGAAUGGACAUGUUUGGAGCAGAUCAUUUCUAGAGUGUUGCAGAACUGAAAAACAUUGAGAUAAGAUUCUGCAAAGCAGGUGAUCUUGCACUGCAUGGUAUCAGAUUCAACGUGCCCCCUAGCCGCGUAUGGAAAGAUGUUGUGAUCAGAGUUUGCAUGGGAGUAUUGUUGUCAGUGGGCCUAACAUGGGUUAAUUGAUCACAAAAUCUUCUCUGGGCCAACUGUCCAUUGACACAUCAGGCAAAGUGUGCCAUAAUUUCUGUAUGUUGGGAAGGAUAAAUUAUGCUAGGAAAAUUUCCCUUGUUUUUGCAAAGCUGCAACAACAAUCUUAGAAAAUUAUGGACAGUUGGGCACAAUGGACAAAAUGAUGAGAAAGGGUAAAUGGAGAGAUUCCAUGUCACAAUAUCAAAUUAGAAAUUUGAACAAUAUUACCCAUUGUACAAAUGCUUUUCAAAAAGCACUCUUCCUGCAGUUCAUGGAAUGUUAGAUUGAUCUAGGUGGGUGAUGGCAGAACAGGGCGAGCCUUCAAGUCCUUGGUCUGGGUUGCAGAUUCAAGUCCACCCCAAUACCUGGGCCUUAUUUUCUAUGGUUUUGGUGAGCAUGGUUGGCGAUGGCUGUAACACUAGAUUUUGGUCGGAUAAGUGGCUUCAUGGUCGGGCCAUCGAAGAAUUGGCUCCUCAUCUCUUUCCAUUAAUUCCUCAUAAAAUUGUCAGCCAAAGGACAGUGGCAGAAGCUUUAACCAACCUCUUGUGGGUGUCAGAUAUAAAGGGAGUGCUCUCUGUUCAGGCUAUAUGUGAGUAUCUCCGGAUUUGGGACUUGCAAGAUGGGGUGCAAGAGCAACAUAUUUGGAAGUUGUCUGGCUCGGGAGCUUACUCCAACAAAUCAGCCUAUAAUGCCUUUUUUUUGUUGGUUCUAUUAGGUUUGCUCCCUGGAAAAGGCUUUGGAAAUCCCGGGCGCCUCUAUGAUGCAAGUUAUGGCUUGCAAUCCUUAAUUGCUGCUGGACUGCUGACAGAUUGGCCAAAAGGGGUCUGCGUCACUCUCCUCUUUCUCCUUUUUGUGAUCAGGUUGAGGAGACCAUUCAGCACUUGUUAGUUUCUUGUGUGGUUUCUAGACAGAUUUGGUUCAGCACUCUUCAAAAGGCCGGUCAGCCACAUAAUUCGGUUUUCUCUGGUUGGUGGUGUCAGGCGCUAAAACAAGUGGAUAAACAUCUUAAGAAGGGUCUGAACUCUCUUAUUAUCUUGGCCGCUUGGGAAAUCUGGAAGCAUUGGAACGACUGCAUUUUCAAUGGAGUUUCUCCUGAUUUCGAGUUGGUGGUUCAGGCCGUGGCUGUGCAAGGUUCUCUCUGGUGGUCGGCUGGUGCCUUGGACCUUCAGGCUCUUUUGCCUGGGUCUUAGGACGUGUCUGUUCUUUCUUUCUUUUCUUGUGGACUUUCUGUUUCUUGUUUUGAUGUUUUUUCCUUUGUGUUUUGUGUUGUAAGGUUUUUGUGUGUACUGUUUUUCCUCUUCUUUAAAUGAAAUGACACGCAACUCUCAUGUCCGUUCGAGAAAAAAAAAUGAUAGAACAGGUAAAGUUUAGAGGUAGUUACAACUUCAUUUGCUAUGUGGUGUAUUUUUUGAAAGGGGCCAUAAGAUAAGAUAACAGAGGAUUAGAAGCAAUUCAAAUUAUGAUAGUUGACCUGCAGUAACAUUGCAAACUUUUUCAAAUAUAUGAAAUGAUGUUUCGAUUUCAAGGUGUCGGUAAUUUGGUUUUAAAAAGGAAUUAUGUUUGUCUGAGAAAACAGCCUAAUGCCAUAUAUGCUCCUGUUAGAAAUGAAAAGUUGAAAAAUAUUCUCAAACAAGCAUUGGGACAUUAGCUAGUUAAAAACACAAGGUGCAAUGGUGUAUUUUCCUCAGGACCUUUAACUAGGGUAGGUGCCAUUCAGAUAUCACAGUAUUAUUUUAUCCCAUUGAUGAAAGGCAUCAGUGUGUUUUGCUGCAUGACAAGUAACAAGUUGAUGUUGCACGCAUGGUCCACAAGCCUGAUAGCUCUAACUGAGGCUUGUUCUGACCAAGUCCACUAUUUCUUGUAUGUUUGUAGGUGCACAAGACUGCUCAUUUGCUCAACCAUGAGCAAAAAGUAGUUCGGUCUUGAUCAAGGUAGCUGACUUGAGCAGCUGGUUGCACCAAAGGAUUGGCAUCUCACUACGCGAAAUUUAGGCAUAUGCACAAAUUGUUCUUGGGCAAUUCAAUUCUUUUUAGAUAUAUUAUGUAUAAUGGUUACAGAGAGCAUAUCUAAGUAGCAACUUGUGGGCUUAUGGAUGGAUGGAGGUUGCUCAUGAAUUGCCUGUCCUACGUCUUCCUGCAGAUUAUUGGAAGAUCAUAUUCCUAUCGGGAAUGGAAGCAUUAUUCUUUUCAUCAGGACCAAAAUCCUUUGUCCAGUGACUUGCAAGGGGGGAAGGGCCCAACCCAAGUUUCAUAUCAAAAUAUGUGGUUCGUGUUUGGGGUGAAUUAUUCGAUGUGACCUUUUUUCCCUUCUGGUUAAGCUUCAGCAUUUUGGACCAGCAACAUGUGGCUCAUAUAUACAUGUAUAUACUAAUCCUUAUAGCGGAAGGAAUCGCCGGCUUCACAGGGCCUCUGCGCACUGUUCGAACACUGUGCCUCCUGAAUUUUACAU